UCGGGGGCGGCUACACAUGCAGUCGAGCGGUAACAGGAAGAAGCUUGCUUCUUUGCUGACGAGCGGCGGACGGGUGAGUAAUACUUGGGAACUUGCCUUUAGGAGGGGGAUAACCGCUGGAAACGGUGGCUAAUACCGCAUAAUGUCUACGGACCAAAGCAGGGGCUCUUCGGACCUUGCACCUAAAGAUAGGCCCAAGCGAGAUUAGCUAGUUGGUGGGGUAAAGGCCCACCAAGGCGACGAUCUCUAGCUGUUCUGAGAGGAUGAUCAGCCACACUGGGACUGAGACACGGCCCAGACUCCUACGGGAGGCAGCAGUGGGGAAUAUUGCACAAUGGGGGAAACCCUGAUGCAGCCAUGCCGCGUGUGUGAAGAAGGCCUUCGGGUUGUAAAGCACUUUCAGUGGUGAGGAAGGCCGUAAGAUUAAUACUCUUGCGGAUUGACGUUAACCACAGAAGAAGCACCGGCUAACUCCGUGCCAGCAGCCGCGGUAAU
rnacentral:rRNA from 1 species